UACGGAGGGUGCAAACGUUGCUCGGAAUCAUUGGGCGUAAAGCGCACGUAGGCGGACUGUUAAGUCGGAUGUGAAAUCCCUCAGCUUAACUGAGGAAGUGCACUCGAAACUGGCAGUCUUGAGUAUGGAAGAGGGUCGCGGAAUUCCCGGUGUAGAGGUGAAAUUCGUAGAUAUCGGGAGGAACACCAGUGGCGAAGGCGCUCUGCUAGGCCGCAACUGACACUGAGGGACGAAAGCUAGGGGAGCGAAUGGG
rnacentral:rRNA from 1 species